CUGAGACCAAGCAAUCCUCCCACCUUGGCCUCCCAAAGUGCUGGAAUUACAGACAUGGGUCACUGUGCCUGGCAACAAUUAUUUAUUUAGUGACUUCUGUGUGCUAAACAACAUACUAGAUGAUAGCACAUGAUGACAGAACAUGUUACUGAUGAGCAACAUGGAACUGCUCUCCAGUUCCUGGUGCUACUGCCCUGUUCUGAGCCACCAACAUUUCUUUCCUAGACUACCACAAUUGCUCAUAAGUAGUCUCCCCACUUCUGCUCUUCAGUCUUUCUAAUCUAUCUGCCAGUCAGCAGCCAGAGUGUGCUUUUAAAAAUAUGAAACAUAGCAUGCUUUUCUUAAAACAUUUCAAUGGGUUUCCACUGACCGUGGAAUAAAAUCCAAACUCUUUAACAUGGUCUGCAAAGCUCUAAUGACUUUGUGGCAUAGCACUGCAUCCCUCUUCUCUCCCCAUGAUGUGUCAAGCUUUGUUUUUUUUUCUUUCUUUUUUUUCCCCCACUGAAGGGCCUACACAUGUUAUUCCUCCUGCCUGGAAUGCUGUCUCUUUGAUUAUGUGCCCAGAUAUCUCAUUCUUAUCUUUCAGGUCUCAGCCCAAGAUCACUUCCUCAGGUCUUUCCUUACCUCCAAGUUAAAAUGGUAUUCCCUUCAUAUUUCCUAAGCAACUUGCUCUUUACCAUCCUCACACAAAUGAACGUUUACAGUAAUAUAUUUAUCCAGGUGUGGAUUUACUUAAAACUUGUGUCUCCCACUACACUCUGUGUUCUACAAAGACUGUAACAUGUAAGCUUUGUUUUUCUUCAUCUACAAAAUAGACAUAAUACCUUUUGGAUCUUCUUCAGUAUGGAUGUGAAGAAAGCAUUACAUAAUAAACAUAAAUGUGUCUAAUAAUAAGGUGCAAUUCCGAUGAAAGAUGUCUUUGGGCCAGGCACGAUGGCACAUGUCUAUAAUCCUAGCACUUUGGGAGACUAAAAUGGUUGGAUCACUUGAGGCCAGGAGUUCCAAACCAGCCAAUGCAGCAUAGCGAGACCCCAUCUCUACAAAAAAGAGAAAAGAAAGAAAAAUGUUUUCAUGGCUCAGAACACCUGAAUACAAGCUAACUCACUAGGAAAGGAGUGUAAGGUAGUUGAAUAAAGCAAUUGGGACACACGAAGUUUCAAAUUUUAUUACAUUUUUGUUAUGUUCAAAUAGUGUUGAGGUAAUUUAUUGUUAACAACAAGAACAAUACAUAGUUCCUUGUCUUUUAGAUCUUUCAAAUACAAAUAAUUUAUGUUUACAAAAAUUUUUACGAUGUAAGAAAGCUUCCCAAAAGAGCCUCUCUUAGCCAUUUGGGUCCACAAUAAAUUCUCAUCCUUGGAAUCUCUGGAUUUUGAGGCAGAGUGAUAGAGAAGACGGUAGGAACUGGGGCACUGGGUGAUAUGUGUCAGGUUCUGACCAAAUGAGUUCAAAGACAGGAAUAGGGUGAGAUUAAGUAUCUGGAUAUCAGGCUUAAAAUAUAGCCAGCGGGAGGCCGGGCAUGGUGGCUAAUGCCUGUAAUCUCAGCACUUUGGGAGGCCGAGGUGGGUGGGUCACCUGAGGUCAGGAGUUCGAGACCAGCCUGACCGAUAUGGUAAAAACUCAUCUCUAGUAAAUGUACAAAAAUCAGCCAGGCGUAGUGGCAGGCGCCUGUAAUCCCAGCUACUCAGGAGGCUGAGGCCAGAGAAUCGCUUGAACCCGGGAGGUGGAGGUUGCAGUGAGCUGAGAUUGUGCCACUGCACUCCAGACUGGGUGACAAGAACAAGACUCCUUCUUAAAAAAAUAAAAAUAUGCCUUAAAGUGCCAGGGAGAGGAGGGUGGACGGGGACCACUCCAGAAUUGGCCGCUGGCGGUAUCAUGGCAACCCAGAACCCCCCUCCCCAAGAAUAUGAAAGUGAUGACGACUCGUAUGAAGUGUUGGAUUUAACUGAGUAUGCAAGAAGACACCAGUGGUGGAAUCGAGUGUUUGGCCACAGUUCGGGACCUAUGGUAGAAAAAUACUCAGUAGCUACCCAGAUUGUAAUGGGUGGCAUUACUGGCUGGUGUGCAGGAUUUCUGUUCCAGAAAGUUGGAAAACUUGCAGCAACUGCAGUAGGUGGUGGCUUUCUUCUUCUUCAGAUUGCUAGUCAUAGUGGCUAUGUGCAGAUUGACUGGAAGAGAGUUGAAAAAGAUGUAAAUAAAGCAAAAAGACAGAUUAAGAAACAAGCAAACAAAGCAGCACCUGAAAUCAACAAUUGAAGAAGCAACAGAAUUUAUCAAGCAGAACAUUGUGAUAUCCAGUGGAUUUGUGGGAGGCUUUUUGCUCGGACUUGCAUCUUAAGGACAUGAAUAUUCUCCCAUAGUGGAUUCAACUAUGAGAAGAGAAGUGGCAGCAAUAAGGCAGUCUCUCAACAGUCAUGCUGCCAGAGUCUCUAGGGCAAGGAGAAACAACUAGCUGGACAAUACUCAAUUCACAACUUAGCAUUUUGCCAUCUGAAGCUUGGCAAACUAGUAUCUGCUGUAAAAUAACCUGUAUGGUAUGUGAACCAUAGUAUUCCUGAGCAAAACAUGGCUUUCACUGCUUUGUAAAAAUUUGCAUCUGUUUAGAAACUAGCCUAUAAAAUAUCACCAUUGGAUGUAGAUAUGGAGAGAAAAGAAAUAUGUUGGGUUUAUUGCUUAGUGAAAUAUUUUCUUUUUGUUUAAGUAAAAUGUUCAUUGUGUUUUAAAAAAAUAAAAAUAAAAAAAUAAAAAUAUAUAUAGUAAGAGGGGACCAACACACCAGGUUGGAGGACAAUGGUUCUGAGGCCAGCCCCAGAACCUUGGAGAGCUCCACAGACACCCGACUGAGUCGGAGCUAGCACCUUGGACAGCACCACGGUUUCUCUGCUGUCCUUUGUACCUGGAUGACACUAUAAACACACGUUGCAGUGGUCACUGUUAAUUUCCUGGGACUUUCGACUCCUGUGUACCUGGCAAUUGUAAUCCUCUAAAAUCAGCAGUCUUUUAGAAGGUUCUUUAUGACAAGGUGGGGGUUGAGAUUCUUUCUCUUCCUUCUAGGAACUUCAGCAUCAGAGCUGAUAAUUGGACCAACUCCCUUGGGAGGUCUAUGGGAUUGGUACCUAGUAUCAUUGUUAUUCUGGAGGCCAACGUCCUUCAAGUUGGGGGAAAAUGUGUAAUACCUGGUUGUACUAUGUAAGGAAGAAUGCUCAGGGCUCUUCCUAGGGACAUAUAAGCAAACUAUCAGGCAAUGCACGUGAGAAAGAUGGUAUGUUGUAUUGAUUUGGAGACAGGCUGCUUGAUUCUUUUUCACACCCUCUCCUCACCUGUUAACCCCAACCUGUUAACCUAUUUUCAGAAACAUACAAUGGAUUGGAUCUGCUUUCUCUGUGGUAAAAAGCUUCUGAACUUGAUUGUUGUUAGCAAGUUUCUGUGAAGUUAUGCACAAAAAACUUUGAAGGAGUUUGGCACUGUAGGUCUUUCUCCUAGUUAUAAUAUGUCAUAUUUACAAACUUAUGCAUUGCUAAUGUCCUUAUUGACAAAUAAAAAAGUGUAAUCAGGUCCACAAAUAAUUUAGAGGAGGGGAAAAGUUAACAUUAAUUGAGCAACUACUGAAUCCCGGUCCCUGUUAUAUGUACUUUAAGUAAAAAAAUAUAUGUAGUAUUUACAGCAACUGUGCACUAUUAUCUCAUUUUUCAGAUGAAUCAAUGGAAUUUCAGAAACGCUAAGUGGUUGUCCAAGGUCUCAUAGCUAGUAGGUGAAGAAAUCAGGACUUCUCAGUCCUGUACAUUUAUUUUUAAUUUUCUUUUCUCUGUGUUUCUUUUUGAAUAGUUUCUAUUGCUAUGUCUUCAAAUU